rnacentral:rRNA from 1 species
CAGUAGCCGCGGUAAUACGAAGGGGGCUAGCGUUGUUCGGAUUUACUGGGCGUAAAGGGCGCGUAGGCGGGCGAAUAAGUCAGGGGUGAAAUCCCAAGGCUCGACCUUGGAACUGCCUUUGAUACUGUUUGUCUUGAGUUCGAGAGAGGUAAGUGGAACUGCGAGUGUAGAGGUGAAAUUCGUAGAUAUUCGCAAGAACACCAGUGGCGAAGGCGGCUUACCGGCUCGAAACUGACGCUGAGGCGCGAAAGCGUGGGGAGCAAACAGGAUUAGAGACCCGCGUAGUCCCUGUCUCUUAUAC